rnacentral:rRNA from 1 species
UACGAAGGGGGCUAGCGUUGCUCGGAAUCACUGGGCGUAAAGCGCACGUAGGCGGCUUUUUAAGUCAGGGGUGAAAUCCUGGAGCUCAACUCCAGAACUGCCUUUGAUACUGAGGGCCUUGAGACCGGAAGAGGUCGGCGGAACUGCGAGUGUAGAGGUGAAAUUCGUAGAUAUUCGCAAGAACACCAGUGGCGAAGGCGGCCGACUGGUCCGGUUCUGACGCUGAGGCGCGAAAGCGUGGGGAGCAAACAGG